GGACGAUGAGGAAACGGUGAAAGGUCUCGUUCGUCGUAAUGGCUAUUGCGCCUUGCCGACCACUCUGAAAUAUCACCACCCAUAUUCUGAGUCC